UACGUAGGUGGCGAGCGUUAUCCGGAAUUACUGGGUGUAAAGGGAGCGUAGGUGGCGAAGCAAGUCAGAUGUGAAAGCCCGGGGCUCAACUCCGGGACUGCAUUUGAAACUGUUUUGCUAGAGUGCAGGAGAGGUAAGUGGAAUUCCUAGUGUAGCGGUGAAAUGCGUAGAUAUUAGGAAGAACACCAGUGGCGAAGGCGGCUUUCUGGACUGUAACAGACGCUGAGGCACGAAAGCGUGGGGAGCGAACAGG
rnacentral:rRNA from 1 species